GGUUAUGGCUCAGUGGUAGAGCACUUGCCUCACAUGUAUGAGGCACUGGGUCCAAUCCUCAGCACCA
rnacentral:tRNA from 1 species